rnacentral:rRNA from 1 species
UACGAAGGGGGCUAGCGUUGCUCGGAAUCACUGGGCGUAAAGCGCACGUAGGCGGCUUUUUAAGUCAGAGGUGAAAUCCUGGAGCUCAACUCCAGAACUGCCUUUGAUACUGAGAGGCUUGAGUCCGGGAGAGGUGAGUGGAACUGCGAGUGUAGAGGUGAAAUUCGUAGAUAUUCGCAAGAACACCAGUGGCGAAGGCGGCUCACUGGCCCGGUACUGACGCUG